rnacentral:misc_RNA from 1 species
GAUGAAGAACGCAGCGAAAUGCGAUACGUAAUGUGAAUUGCAGAAUUCAGUGAAUCAUCGAGUCUUUGAACGCACAUUGCGCCCUCUGGUAUUCCGGAGGGCAUGCCUGUCCGAGCGUCAUUGCUGCCCUCAAGCACGGCUUGUGUGUUGGGCCCCGCCCCCCGAUCCCGGGGGGCGGGCCCGAAAGGCAGCGGCGGCACCGCGUCCGGUCCUCGAGCGUAUGGGGCUUUGUCACCCGCUCUGUAGGCCCGGCCGGCGCCUGCCGAUCAACCAAACUUUUUUCCAGGUUGACCUCGGAUCAGGUAGGGAUACCCGCUGAACUUAAGCAUAUCAAUAGCGGAGGA